rnacentral:misc_RNA from 1 species
AAGUCGUAACAAGGUUUCCGUAGGUGAACCUGCGGAAGGAUCAUUACAGUAGUAAUGCACGCGGGAAGCCGGCUCCGUGUCGCCCCGUGUACAGGCCUCGACCGUAAAAGGUCGGGCGACCUGUUUAAACCCUUUGUGAAAACCCCCAAGUUGCUUCGGCAGCUCGCUGCUAUUAGGUUAGCGGCGUGUCAGCCUGCCGACGGCACCCAUUUGGAAACCCAUUUAUGUAAACUUUAGCACUUACACGUCUGAGCGCGAAGUCGAAUUGACUAUAAAACUUUCAACAACGGAUCUCUUGGUUCCC